GAAGCUGGAAUUGCUAGUAAUGGCAGGUCAGCAUACUGCCGUGAAUACGUUCCCGGGCCUUGUACACACCGCCCGUCACACCAUGAGAGUUGGAGAUACCCGAAGCCUGUGAGCUAACAGAAAUGGAGCAGCAGUCGAAGGUAGAAUCAAUGAUUGGGGUGAAGUCGUAACAAGGUAGC
rnacentral:rRNA from 1 species